CACGAAACAGGGAAGUGCUCCGCCCGCGACCUGUCUAUCUGUAACAAGAUAUUCUCAAAUUGGGAAGAGCUCAGACAUCUCUGACUGUCAAAAGACAGAUGACCUAGAACCUGUUCGGAGCUCUGUAGAUCAUUAAUUAAUAAUCCGUCUACUCUACAGCAAUCCCACACGAUGGAUGUAAAGGAUCUCGGAGUAAAAAUACUCAGCUUUAUUUCCAUUCUCUCAAAUUGCUCGAUGAACGGAUAUGGUUCAAGCUUGAAGUGUUGUUUCGAGGUUUUGAGAAACCACUCGGUUUCCUAUCAUCUCAGUGAGCCACCUGGAGCAUUCUGCACACCAACAUGGUCAGAAAUGGAAUUCGUUGUGGUUGAUGAACAUGGAGGCGUGGAUGAGACAAAGGUAGUAUAUCUUGAACCCCAGAAGUUAAUCGUCAAAGAAAACACGGAUGAGAAGAUCAAAGAGGUCACAUACCGAAAGGACUGCCUAGGGCAUGCUUUCACUACAAGAUGUAAUGAUCCUUGUCCUGCUUUGGACCCACCCAGAACUACAGCCCCAUACAAUAACACCACUGAAGAAACUGGUAGAAAUCAUGUCAUUAUGUAUAUCAUUGGUGUCAUCAUCAUCUUCAUUAUCGCUGUGACUGUCAUCUGUCUCCGAAGAAAGUGCCAAUCUUGAAAUCUUAAUUUAAGGUAUAUUUGGAAAGCAGUGCCAUAGAAUGAAACCCCAACUGUCUUGGUCUCUGAUGCCACCUGAACAAGACUUUUAAUUAUGAUAACACUGAAUAAAAUAAAUAAAAAUAAAAUCUAAUUUUGCUCA
ensembl:lncRNA